AGUCCUGUAACUCAAUUGGUAGAGUGUCUUCCUUACAAGAAGAAUGUCGCGGGUUCAAUUCCUGCCAGGACUACCA
rnacentral:tRNA from 1 species